rnacentral:rRNA from 1 species
AGUGAACGCUGGCGGUAGGCCUAACACAUGCAAGUCGAACGGCAGCACAGUAAGAGCUUGCUCUUACGGGUGGCGAGUGGCGGACGGGUGAGGAAUACAUCGGAAUCUACUUUUUCGUGGGGGAUAACGUAGGGAAACUUACGCUAAUACCGCAUACGACCUACGGGUGAAAGCAGGGGAUCUUCGGACCUUGCGCGAUUGAAUGAGCCGAUGUCGGAUUAGCUAGUUAGCGGGGUAAAGGCCCACCAAGGCGACGAUCCGUAGCUGGUCUGAGAGGAUGAUCAGCCACACUGGAACUGAGACACGGUCCAGACUCCUACGGGAGGCAGCAGUGGGGAGUAUUGGACAAUGGGCGCAAGCCUGAUCCAGCCAUACCGCGUGGGUGAAGAAGGCCUUCGGGUUGUAAAGCCCUUUUGUUGGGAAAGAAAAGCAGCAGGUUAAUACCCCGCUGUUCUGACGGUACCCAAAGAAUAAGCACCGGCUAACUUCGUG